rnacentral:ncRNA from 20 species
UGCCUCUGGAAAGCGGUGGCGACCCCUGGCGGUCCUCACCCGCCGAUGGGGAAAGGCGAUUCACCUGACGGUGGACAGAGUCGCCGAAUCUCUCAGGCGCCUGGCGUGCAGGUGAAGACAGAGGGAGAGGG